CUACAACACGGGAGGAGGCGGCGGCGGCGGCAUCAGCGGCGGCGGCAGGAUGGGGCUGGAGCUGUACCUGGAUCUGCUCUCGCAGCCCUGCCGGGCGCUCUACAUCUUCGCCCGGAGCAACAACAUCCCCUUCGAGUUCAAGCGGGUGCAGCUGAUGAAGGGGCAGCACAAGACGGAGGAGUUCCGGAAAGUGAAUGUCCUGAUGAAGGUGCCUGCACUAAAGGAUGGUUCUUUCACUUUAGCAGAGAGCAUUGCAAUCCUCCUGUACCUCACCCAGAAAUUCAAGACUCCUGAUCACUGGUACCCAUCUGACCUGCAGAAGAGGGCGAGGGUUGAUGAGUACCUGUCGUGGCAGCAUGCCAACAUCCGUGCGAAGGGGAGCAAGCUGUUCUUAAUGAAGGUGCUGCUGCCUGUCCUCACAGGCCAGCCACUUUCUGCAGAGAAAUUGGAAUUCCUUAUUGAGGACCUCAGUGUUGUCCUAAAGCAGUUUGAAGAGAAGUUCUUGCAGGACAAGCCCUUCAUCGCAGGCAGCGAGAUCUCCCUGGCGGACCUCGUAGCACUGGUGGAGCUCAUGCAGCCUGUAGGUGCUGGCUACAACCUCUUUGAGGAGAGGCCCAAGCUGGCGGAGUGGCGCAGGCGGGUGGAAGAGGCUGUGGGGAAGGAGCUCUUCCAGGAAGCCCACGAAGGGAUCAUGAACAUUAAGAACUUGACUGCUGAUCAGUUUGCACCUGAAAUGCUGGAGGGUUUCAAGCAACAGCUCCUGAAGCAGCACCACUGGAUCUGCUUGAGGACUGAGUGAUUCAGCCUGUGUGGAAACAAGGGCCAGUCAGAGCUGCCUUCUCCGUCUCUGUUCAAAGUUUUCCAGGCAAGAGCAAAGGUUUCCUGAGGGAAAGAGGCAGAACAGGACUCAGCCCCUGCUGGGGACACUGCCAGGGCUCUUAGAACACCUGGCCACUAGAUGCUGCUGCAUCAUCUGCAGGAGCAAAGGGACACAGUGCCCAGCAGCAAGAAGAUGUGUGGGU